CAGGUUAGGUUUUGUCAAAGGAAUAUGGUAAUUUGAAAAAAAAAUUUUAAUAUAUAUUUUGAAAAUCUGUUUCAGGGAUUUUCAAUUUCUUUGGGACUGAAACUUCAACUUGGAUUACGUGCUUACCGUAGAACUUAUUUAUUUUUAUUUUUACUCUUGAUUUCUUGGACAGUGACGUCAUCAACGAUUGUAGGAUUGCAGUAUUAUUUUAAUUAAACAGAUAUCGAAUUAUUCGUCUUUCCUUACGAUAGUCGUACGUCGGCCUUUCAGAUAUUAACCGUUUAAUUGACGAUGAACAGGGCCAAGAUCCAUUUUCUGUUUAUCUUAUGCAUCUAUGGUGCCCCGGUUGUUUAUACGCAGAAGUAUAGUCGAAUGAAUCGAAUCAACGAAUUUGAAUACGAGUCUAUAAUAGAAAGAGAAUAAGGAAGAAAGAGGAAAGCAAAAAGUAGGAAAAAAAGGCAUCGAGCGAAGUUGGAGUCUCGUGGAGAAACGAAAGAGAUGCAACGGCGCGUAAAAUCGAGGCGAUUUACUUUUCAGCUAUGGAAUCUAAUCCCAAUGCAAAGGGUCCGAUCUUCGAUUCCAACAUGGCGAGCAGCAGACACGUUCCGCUUACCGUUCCAAGCCACGUGCGGCAAGAGGAAAUACUCGACCGCGAAUAUCACGAAUAUACACGGUAAAUGAGAUUCCAGAAGUUCGAUCGUUGCCGUUGAGGGUUUCUUUUUGAGCUGAGAAUGAGAUAUACAUAAAUAUGUGGGUACGUAGUUGAUAGAAUGUAUGAUAAAUUACGACGCUCCGGGAACGCAUCGUGUGACAAUGGAUUCCCUUUUGUGCGUCCGUGAAACGUGUAGCCAACCCCUCGCUGAUAAAUCGAGAGAAAUCUGGCCGUCCUUUCCUAAUGCAGACCUAACCCUAACCUGCAAAAUAAUGAAGAGAACAAUCCUUGUCCUCGAUGCUGCUACACUUUGUCUAACAGAUUUUACAUUGUAUUUUUCCUGUUAAGGUUGGUUUCUAAUGGCUCUUUUGUUUCUUUCUCAUUUUUACUUUCGCCGAAUUCUCUGAUAGCUCCUGGCCAUAUGGGAAUUUCGUGUCAACCCUUGUUGGACCUACGACUUUUUGUGUUGCCUCGUGCCGACGAAAACGCGUUCUAAAAGGACAAAGCAGAAACAAAAAUUACUGGAAACAAAGGCAGCUACGUAUUUACAGGGGAGACUCGUGGUGACACAAAUUUCUUCUGGCGACCAGACGUCUUGUGACUUUCAAAGUGGAUUUAAGACUUUCAUGGAUUCUUUGAUUUUUUGUUACAAAAUCGUUUUUGAAUUAAUAUCAUCUGAAUCGUGAGUGAGCCAAGAUUCAGAGGCGUCUUAUAUCCUGAAGCAACAUCGCCAUUUCGAGGGAGAAGUAUGAAUUUCAGAUUUUACGAUAAUGUAGGGCUAUCCGUACUUAGCUACCGCAAGCAUUGACAUUCCGGAAGAAGGAUUCCAACAAAGAAUAACGUGAAGCAUAAAAAGAAAAGGAAAGUACGGAGACGGUUGGACUAUCCUGACAAGCAUAAACAACACCAUAGAAUAAUAAGUAAGCUCAUAGUCAGAAGGAAAGAAAAACAUUCAACCAUCACUUCCAGGCCUAGAAAACGCAUAGAAGCGGGGGUCCGCGAUGGGCACUUACUGGCUCAUUUGGCACCUAUCGACGUACCAGUAACGAUUUAGUGCUGGACCACUGUUACACGUUUUUGCGGGGUUGUUCCGGUUUGGCGCAGCCGUUCAAGUUACUUGGCUGAAUACAAGGGGUGGCUUUAGGGCCAAUUUCUCUCGUUAGUCGACCACCUUCACAGUACUAGGAUACUUGUUGCUGUUGCUACGUAAAUUGCCGGCCAACUAGUGGGCUUCAUUACGUCGUAAUUACCGUGAUCGUUAAUGACUUUAUACGCCCAUCAUCUGGACCCCACUGAAGAGAGGAUAUUCUACCAGCCUCUGUAUAGCAGGUGCAAACUUUAUAGGCAGCAUGAAAUAAAAGGAUCUUGGAAGAUUGCUCCUGUAAAUUGGCAAUAUGGUCAUAACUUUUUUUGGCUAAAUAACGUAAACUUGGUAAUUAUUCAUGGCAUAAUAGUGAAGAGAUGAGUCACCCCCUUUUUAAUGCUGCUUAAUUUCAAAGUCACCUUUUAAGAGCUGAUGUUACGUGUAUCGUUAUAUGAGAGCACAUUAUUUUGGAAAUGACCAUCGUGGUUCUGGGGUAAAAGCAUAUAGACAAAGCCUAUAAAGAAAACCAGGCUAUUUCUAACCAUUUCGUCGGGAACAUCGAUUGAUAUUUAUCUGCUGGAAUUGCUGUGUAAAAUGGAUUUAUGUGAGCGUCGUGGGUCGCCGAUGCGUUAGAGUUCCGACCCGACAUUUCUCAACGUUCUACGACCAUCUGCCACUUCCACUUUGUCCGGACAAGUUUUUUUAGUUUCUUGUGGUUAUAGUGGCAGUGCGAGUCGCAUUUGAAGUAGAUAUGAUUAGAUGAAGAUUUUAUUUAACCUUAUACAUUGAAUUGAUAGAUAACGUGUGGAGUUUCUUGUUUCGUAAAAUUUAAAAAAUUAAAACUAAUAAUAUUGGGCAACAUUGUAUAAAGUUUCGAUAAUUCUUUAAAUUGUAAAGUUUUGUAGGUGCAAGUUUUAAAAAUGAAAAACGAAUUAUCAAAUUUAAACUGGCCGUCUUAGGAGCAUGCCGGAUACAAAGGUUGACUAUGUGCUUUUUUUUAAAAAUAUCUUUGAUAGGCAUUUUUUAUUCCCUUUCUUGUUCGUGCCCGGAAAUGAUACCUUCUCUGGUUGAUGUGUUUCCGGUAUAUCGAAAUUCUUUUCCUCAAUAGUUCUUUCUGUGUCGCAGACUAUUUAUCGUGCUGUUUAAAAUUCUGCGUGCUUGCAAGCUUUUUAUUCCUCAGAUAGCGAGCAGCUAUUUGUGUAGGUAAAGGGAGAAAGAGCUUGGAUGUAUUUUAAAGUUGAAAAGUAAAACUUGAAAAAGUUUUGUCCCGUCGACAGUUUAACGUUUACUAUUGAAAUCUUACAUCGGUUCUUAUCAUAAUUAAUAAAUUGCGAUAGCUGACUAUUUUCACGCAUAUUUCUUAUUAUAGUCAUAUAUAUCAUUGUUUUCCUUGUUUUGUUCUACUUUACUGGGACUUUAGUUAGGUUGAGAGAUAAGGUACAGGUGUU